rnacentral:rRNA from 1 species
GACGAACGCUGGCGGCGUGCUUAACACAUGCAAGUCGAACGGAAAGGCCCUGCUUUUGUGGGGUGCUCGAGUGGCGAACGGGUGAGUAACACGUGAGUAACCUGCCCCUGACUUUGGGAUAACUUCAGGAAACUGGGGCUAAUACCGGAUAGGAGCUCCUGCUGCAUGGGGGGGGUUGGAAAGUUUCGGCGGUUGGGGAUGGACUCGCGGCUUAUCAGCUGGUUGGUGGGGUAGUGGCUUACCAAGGUUUUGACGGGUAGCCGGCCUGAGAGGGUGACCGGCCACAUUGGGACUGAGAUACGGCCCAGACUCCUACGGGAGGCAGCAGUGGGGAAUAUUGCACAGUGGGCGGGAGCCUGAUGCAGCAACGCCGCGUGCGGGAUGACGGCCUUCGGGUUGUAAACCGCUUUCGCCUGUGACGAAGCGUGAGUGACGGUAAUGGGUAAAGAAGCACCGGCUAACUACGUG